AUUUCAUCAAAGAGGACAUACGAGCAAUGUGCUGAAACAUUUGAACACGCAGCAUGCAAUAAUUAUAGAUGGAUGUCGCGUCUUUGAACCACGCCAAUCUCAUCCCAGGCAGCAGCCAUCGUAAAUACAACAGAUGAGCAUGAGGAAACAUAUUCUGACUGGUUUGAAGGCGGGCAGUAAUAGCUCCAGUUCAUGUACGCCGUGAGUUUUCACCACGGCAGGGAAGAGUACCACUACCAAGAAUGACGAAUGUCACCAAGCAUUGACUAAGUUUCUAGUCAAAAGCUUGCAACAAUUCGCUACAUAGAUGCUCCUUUUUGCGUCUACUUCUCCCUCCUCUGCGGGAGCACUUGGAGGAGCCGUUGACAGCGCGCUCGGACACGCCCCUGCUCGCGUUGAGCGCAGCACGCCCACGCAGCACGCCCACGCAGC